UAUCAACCUGUCAUUUGGCAUUUCGGUGGUGGAUGCGGUCACGG
rnacentral:tRNA from 1 species